GUGGGGAAUAUUGGACAAUGGGGGCAACCCUGAUCCAGCCAUGCCGCGUGAGUGAUGAAGGCCUUCGGGUUGUAAAGCUCUUUUGGCGGGGACGAUGAUGACAGUACCCUCAGAAUAAGCCUCGGCUAACUACGUGCCAGCAGCCGCGGUAAAACGUAGGAGGCGAGCGUUAUCCGGAUUUACUGGGCGUAAAGCGCGUGCAGGCGGAUUGGAGAGUUGGAUGUGAAAGCUCCCGGCUUAACUGGGAGAGGUCGUUCAAUACUUCCAGUCUUGAGUGCAGUAGAGGGAAGUGGAAUUCCGGGUGUAGUGGUGAAAUGCGUAGAUAUCCGGAGGAACACCAGUGGCGAAAGCGGCUUCCUGGACUGUAACUGACGCUCAGACGCGAAAGCUAGGGUAGCAAACG
rnacentral:rRNA from 1 species